UUGUCUUCAGCUGGUGGCUUCCUAGUGGUGCUGCUGGAAUUCCCUAGUGAAGCUAGUUUCAGGCUGGCCAGCCUGAUACUCAACACCUCAGGGAAAUUCUCUCCCUGCAGUGGGAGGCAGCUGCACCUUCUCCAGCUGGUUCUGAGCUUCAGUCUGGGAGACUUUCUCCCAGGAUGCUCUUCCUUGAAAACUCGGUUUUAGUCCUAGCAGGAGUGGCUGCCACUUACACCUGCUUUUUCUGUGUUCUUUAGAUUCUCUCUAUCCGUUUUAUUAGUAAAUUCCCUCUGAUGAAUGGAUAAUUCUUCAUAUUCAAAUUUUCCAAUUCAAAUGACUGGUUUGGUUACUGCCUGCGAGCUGACAUUGGCUGAUACAGACACCAUACAGGAACCCGGAAAAAGCUGGAAGAUGGGCAUGCCCUCUGUGACCACAACAUCCUGAAAGAAUCCAUUCUUAGCCACUUGGUUCUGAGCUUGAAAGGAGGUGUCUAAGCGCUUCCUUUUAAGUUCUCAUUAGAUUUUAUUUCAAUAAAGUUGUUGCAUCCCUUUCUCCUCCUCCCCCCGCACCCCCCCCCCCAAAAAAAAAUAAAUGGUCCAUGGUUUCAUGGCUAUAGAGGAGCCACCUGGCUGCAGCUUGGAAAUCCAGGCAUUCAUCUCCCAGAGCCAUGGCUGUGGGUACAAAGGUGUAGGAGAUUCUAGAACUUGGGGAUGAGAGAGGCACAGGGCUUCUGGGACCAUCAGCAAGAAGUAGAUUAUCAAGCCAGACAAGAAAAAGCCCAAGAAGUCCUACGAAGUCCUGGCCUUCCAGAAGUCUCCAGAUGUGCACCAGGAAGUCUACCACUGCUCUACUCUGACAAGAAGGAUGUAGACCCACCACUAUCCAGUGACACGGGCAAGGCCACCGCACCGUGACGGCCAAGUUGGGCUCCAAAAAGACGUGGCCAUGGAAGUGGAUGCCAUCCACCAACCCAGCAUGCAAGGAUGGAGCCCGUUCUUCCACUGGCAACAGGCAGCUGAGGAGGGCAAGGCUGUCCCCUUGCCCACGUUCGAUAAGACUGUUGGUGCCCGUGCAUUCAGAGCAGGAGUACCAGCUCUAGCUUCACCACAACACUCAAACAGAGGCAGAAACUGACCACGUCUUUGACCUCAGCCGCUGCUUUGAUCUCCCUUUUGUCUUUCACCAUGCCUAGGAUGAUCGCCAGCAGUUGACGGAGCCACCUGUGGAGGACUUGAAGGAGCAGUAUUACCGCGUCUGAGCCAAGCUGGACAAUGUCCAGGCCGAGAUCUGGACAACGCACAAACCUCGGGGUACCAGUGUUUGAUGCUUGGCACUGGCGACGGCGGAAGGAACAACUGAAGCAUCGCUGUAAGCUGCCAGUAAGCACGUGAUGGCGGAAGGGUACCCAUUAUAUAAGCUGCUCCAGAUCUAGUCCCGGCAGAAGCAGUGUAGUCGGGAGCGCGGGAGCUUCUGACGGCCGCCGGCCUGGCUGCCCAGCAACGUCCUCCUGAUGCAGUCACUUCACAAAAAAGGGGCUGAGAAGCCGGUUGUUCCUGAGACUAUGGGCAAGACUACCCUAGCAGAUGGAGCUACUAGGGUCUAUGGAACAGACUAUCAAGGCCUGGAACCAGUGCUGGGUGUGGAGCUGAGCCCGGAGGAGGGGUUGGUGCGCAGGCUCAGCGAGGCGCGGCCUGAGCUGGUGCAGGUGGAUCAGCUCGAGCAGGAUGGCGCCGCCAGUGGGGACGAGCCCCGGGCGCUGGCCCCGGCUGGGUGCUACGAGGCUGCAACCCCAGCGUUGGUGCGGGCCCUGGAGGAGCCUGAACCUGGCCUGGGGCAUGCUCCUAGCAAGGGCACCAUCGUCUACCAUCAUCGCACCCAUCGCGUCCAGGAGGAAGCGAUGGAAAUCAUCUCCAGCUCCUCUUCUGUGAAGAAAACCAAGAAACCUUGAGAGGCCGCAAGGGGUGAGGGAGGCGGCUGCGUAGAGCUGAUCUACAUUGUCCUACAUCGGGGCCCUCCUUCAGCCUGAGCCCCAGAAUGACUGUGACUGGGAGCAGAGCCACAGCUGACUUGCAUGGCCGCACACUCAACCACCAGCCCAGUCAGUCUGCAGCCAUCAACAAUCAAAGCCAGACCCUCUGUCAGCAAGACGAUGACUUGCUGAAGACUCAGAUGAUGGACUUCAGAGAAAACAAACACAAGGGAAUCCUGACCUGAGAAAAUGGAGUCCAUAUAUUUUUCUUUGAGCUGAAGGAAAGCAAAUGUAAGCAUUGUCUUCCUCCAAUGGCCACUUUAGUGGAAGAAGAGUGUGGGGGUGUCGUCUUGUUACCUUCAGACAAGCCGGAAGUGCAGGUUCUUCACAUGGCCUGGUUUCCCAUUGGGAUGAACGGGGGCUCUUUGUUACUACUGGAUGGGCUCAGAGUUCCAUCUCCCCCUUCAACUUCAGCUGGGACCUGGCUGGGAGCAGAAGAAGAUCUUGUCACCAGGCUUCAUUGGGGCCCCUGCUGCCAGUUUCUUGGAGGAAGUGGACUCGUUAUCACUGAGUAGUGCUAAGAGCCUUGACUGCAUUGUUCCUGUUCUCACGCACCCUCGGUGAGGAAGUGGAGGUACCUUGUUACUGCUGCAGAGAAGUGGCGAUCCAGACUCUGUCCUGGUCUUCACUGCAGCAUGGCAUGAGAUCUGUCAGAGAUGGCAAGCUCAGUUCUCCAGUCAGCCUCUUCUGAUACCAAGCUGCGGAAGCAAAGUUAGAGUGUCUCACUGUUGCCCGCCAAGGGUGGAAGUCUCACUUUUCCACUCAAAACUUUGCUAGAAAGGAUGAGGCUGGGGCUUACUCUACACCGGUUAUUGGGUGAAGGUUUUUCUCUUGUUACCUGGUCCUUCGGCUACAGAGAGGAGGCUGUACUAGGGUUCUUUUAGCAGCUCCUCCAGUAUUCAUUCUGAGAUACAUGAGACAAAAAGGAAACUUCAGAAUUCACCAAGUCGUUCCACAUAAACAUAGGUAUAAAUAUCUCCCAGUUUUGAACUUGUACUUGGUGGUUGAAAUAGGUAAAAGUACAUCUAUUCUUCUCCAUACUCUUUGAAAGUUCGAUAAAAUUCAUAUGAUUCUUGUUUUGUAAAUUGAGGUAUAAGUGAAAUAUAACAUUUCAGAUGUAUGAUAAAAUGGCUCAGUGUUUGUAUAUAUUGUGAAAUGAUCAUGAUAAAUUAUCUUAAAAAUCUUUAGAAAGCUAUAAUAAACUUAACAAAAUGUUUAUUGUAAUAUGCCUCACAGCAGAUAAUACUUGAUGUGAUAUAUGUCUCUGAUAUUUUACCCUGCUUUAAUGCCAAAUACUAAAGAAAAUGAUACAAACACAGAUCCAUUAUUACUGCCAGCAAAAAAAAAAAAAAAAAAAAAUUCACAUCCCUUUGGUGAAAUGCAAUGAAACAAACCAUGAGGUUGGAUAAUGUGGAUGACACUUUAAAUGGAAAGGAAAAUCAAGAAUUAAAAUAAUUGUGAUGGAGUCCUGUGGUAUUCUUUUAAAACUCCUAUUAAAAUAUUGGAGGAUGAUGGGGUACAAAUGGAGAAGUGAAUAGGUGCUUUAGGGUGACCACUGCAGUUUAUCUGGACCUCGCCUGGUUUUAACACUGAACGUCUCUUAGUCCUGGACAAACAGGAACAGUAGUCAUCCUCACUGGACAACUGUGCUGAUUUAUAGGUACUGUGCAAUUUUAAUUUUAUUAGUAAAUGUAAUUGUAGCUGUUUUACUACUAAUGCAUCCAAGGAAUUAUUAAAAUAACUGGGUGAAAUUCACCACAUUCUCUUACCUCAUCCACCGUUGUAGCUGGGAGCUUGUGACUUCUAGCAACUACUGAAUUGGGUUUUCUGUUCUUGUUCUUCACCUCCUUUAGCCCCUCUGUUUCCAAACAGCAGAAUUCUUAAGAACUGCAUUAGAAUCAAGCAAUUGGAGAGAGAUAUUUAUGAUUAGAAAACUGUUGACUAGAACCAAAGUUUAUUAUAUUAUCUGUAGAAUAAUAGACAUUUUAAAAUGAAUUAAUGUAGUUUGCUAUAUUUGCUAAAGUUAUAUUGUAUCAAUUACUUACUGGAAUCUUCAUUUACAAGAAAUAAUAGUAAUAUAGAAUAAUCUUGUAUUUAUAAACCAACCCUUUACUGUACAGAAGAAACUAACAACACUGUAAAGCCACUAUAUGUCAAUAAAAAUUAAACCAAAUCAUUAAAAUUUCAAUAAUUUUAUUGUUUUGUUAUGUAUACCCCCUAUAAGUAAUCCAUGUAAUUUUUAGUGUGUUGUAUAAAUUGGCAUGUUAGGAAUAUAGCACAUUGAAUUAAAUCCUGUAAGACUAAUUUUUAAAUAAAUCUUAAUUUUUCUUUAGAGCAAUAAACC